rnacentral:lncRNA from 1 species
UAGAUCCCUGUGUUUCUAAAUAGGUAAAAACAUGUAAAACUUAUCUGAACUAUAGACCAUUUGGAGUCGACUAUUCAAUCUUGCAAAAUUUUAAUUUUAUUAUUACCUAGUCUUUUAAUUUAUUGGAUUUGUGUCAGUCGACGGUGCUUUAACUUUAAAAUGUAAGCUAAUACUUGCUUUAAUAAGUUUACAGUUGUGCGAAUUAUAUGAGAUUUACUAACUAAAUCUGUAAAGAUGAGUGAUGCGUUCAGAUUUUUAAGUCGAAGUGUCGUCGACUAAUUCAAUCAAAUAACAUUGAAAAGUGCGAUAGAGGUUGGAUAGCUAAAACCAAAACGGUCCAUAGUUCCG